rnacentral:rRNA from 1 species
AGUGAACGCUGGCGGCGUGCCUAAUACAUGCAAGUCGAACGGAGUGGCGCACGGGUGAGUAAUGUAUAGCUAAUCUGCCCUACACUAGAGGACAACAGUUGGCAACGACUGCUAAUACUCUAUAGUGUAGGAUGAGGCUAUAUUGUAUCAGCUAGUUGGUGAGGUAAUGGAUCACCAAGGCGAUGACGAAUAACUGGUCUGAGAGGAUGAUCAGUCGAACUGGAACGGAGGCACGAUCCGGACUCCUACGGGAGGGGGCAGUAGGGUAUAGUGCUCAAUGGGGGAAACCCUGAAGGAGCAACGCCGCGUAAAGGAUGACACUUGGCGAAGCAUAAACUCCUUUUGUUAGGGAAGCGGUACCUAACGAAUAAGCACCGGCUAACUCCGUGCCAGCAGCCGCGGUAAUAC